UGGUAUUGAUAAAGGUUCAAGUUUGGGGUUGUUGGGAAAUUUGAAAAAAAGAAGAAGAAAAAAGGAAUAAGCAUUGAGCCAAGUGUUGAGGAAAUAUGAAAAAGAGAAAGAAAAAAGAAAGAAAGAAAAAGUUGAAUGAAAAGGGAAAUUGGGAAUAAGUGAAAAUGGUUUUUUGGAAAGAGAGAAUGUGUUGAAUGAUGAAAUUAUGAAAGGCUCUCUUAACUAAAGGAUUUUGUGAUUUGGAAAAACCAAUGUUCUUCUUAGUCCAGCCACAUUACAAGUCAUAAAAAGACCUUGUGAUGAUACUUGCUUAUGAGUAUGUUUGAUUAUGGUU
rnacentral:lncRNA from 1 species